UGGUGUAAUUAACAAUCUAUUACAGUGAUCCCAUGACACACAUUGUCCAAAUAACCAUUUCAGUAACCUUGAACCUAUAUGAUGAGAACUUCAAUUCAUUUGAAUCCAAACCUCACACUCAUACUCUUUCAGAAUCAAACCAACAAGUAGACAUAAAUUCACUUUACGAUAUUCAACAACAUGAGAAAGGGCUAGACUAAACAUGCAUAAUAUAGGAUUACAUACUUAAUAAUACUGAAAUUGACGAAAUAGUAGAAAUAAACUUGAAAUACAACUUGUAUCCUAAGUGUUUCACAUUCAAAGUGCAGAUUCACAUUCACAUGUUGUCUAUGGUUCCAAAAGAUACCUGGAAAGCAAAGAAAAAUAGGAAAAAUGAAUCCAACAGUGUUUACACAAUUGAAUUCAUAGUGCAGAUUCACAUUUACAUUCACACUCACAUGCAAUAUAACAGUGUUUACACAAUUGAAUGCAACCCAAACUUCCAAAAACCAGCUCCCAGCAGCUCAAACCAAACUUCUAAACCCUGAUUAAAGCCAUGUUUCCACACAGAUGCAUAAUUUUGGAAUUUUUUUCAGAAAAGUUCUAGAGUAACAAAAGAUUCAGAGAGCCAUAACCAAGAAACUAAAACUAGUUUAAACAAUUUUCAACAUUUCUCGGAAUUUUCAGAAGGAAAUUAGUUACUUCUCCAAUUCAGUACUUUUUCUGAACUUUUCAGUUUCUCUAGGGUGUAAAAAUUGUCUGUUGAGUGAAACAAAGGCUUCAUUUAUAAGGUUGGGGGUCUGUUGUGUGCCUUCCAAGGCAAGGUAAUGUGAUUUUCCCAAAAUACCCUCACAGGGCAUCUUUUAAAACUGACUUUUGUACAACUGUCCUUUUUUCCAGAUAUUUUCAUUUUUCAGCCUGUUUUCCCUAACAAUUUUGGGCAGCUGUCCAUUUAGGAAGCUUCCCAAUCAGUUAUUAAAAGAUUCCCCAAGUUAAAUCAAUCCCUAUAUUACCCCCUUAAGUUCUUAGUUAUUCAAUUAAAACCUUGAAGGUUAUGUUAUUCCCCAAAUCAAGACUAACACAUUUAGGCACAGAACACAUCGACAUUCAACAGUCAUUAAGCAUUUUUAAAUCUAACCAAAACAAAGUAAUCCGGCUAACAAAGUCACUUACAUAUAAGAUUAAAUAGUUUUCAGAAAUGAAUCUAAACUAAAUAUGCCAAUUGAGUAGGGAAACAAAUAUGAAGAGCAAGAUUAACCAAAGACUAGUUAGAGUGCACAAAGUCCAAAUUCAGAAUGCUUUUGUUUUGUUUUAUCAAUGGACUCAGAAUUACCAUAAAAAUCAGAAUUAAGACCUUUAUAAUUUCAGAAAAAGAAAACAAUAAGAAGUAUUCGUUGAACACCAAAACAUUUGGACUUCAAAAUGGCGUUUGGUCUGGUUAGAGGCAGAAUUCGGCAAGCUAAAUGAGCUUCGGCGAGUAAUGAAAAUUAUCACACGAGCACUGGCCGAAAAUUCUUCGCACAACCAAUGCUAUAUGUAGCAAUUUUCAUCGCACACCGAAGAGAAAAAAUGGAGAAGAACGUUCGAACGGGUUCUGGUCGGUCAAUGGAACUUUGAACAGACUCAAAUAGCUAUAAGGAGAAGUAAAAAUGCUCACAAUCAUGGUAUUCAGCGAAUGAGCUCGAUUGGUGUAAGUUCCGACAUCAAAAGGGGCUAAAGGAAACAAAAGAGAUAUGUAAAAGAGAUGAGCUAGGUUAUGGCAGUUUCAGAUUUGAGAUUUGAUGGCCUUGGUGAAGAUUUUAGGGGAGCUAGUUGGAGAUUCACGAUGAGGAAAGGCUGGGGAUUAUAGGGUGGAGAUUUGGAACAAUUUGGUGGUGAGCCGCCGGUGGAGAUGGUGGGGCAUUCUAGAGUGGCUCUAGGGUUUCCAGUGGUCUCUGAAGAAGAGUGAUUUGAGAGAGACGAUGAGAAAGGGGGG
rnacentral:lncRNA from 1 species